GGAUGCCUUCAACGGGCACUUAAGUAAUGAUUAAUUAUUUCCCUCUCAUCUUCAGUUGCUAACGACUUCAUCAAUAUCAUUAACCGUCUUCCAGGAGUAGUUUUGAUAUUGCUGAGGACGAUGAAGGUACAACUAGUCCUACUUUGAAGGUUACUGCUCAAUUAGAUAUUGGGCAACAGUUUCUUACAAAGACUUACCAGGGGCAUUGGACCAAGAACUGGAAGGAGUGACGGUGAGAAUUCAGGGAAACUGUCUCUUUACCACGUCAUGCUGUUUCUGAGGAUAAAAAGUUUUUGAGUGAUUCUCUAAUACUCAUUAAUGUUUUUUCUCUUAAGAAAGUUACAUGUGAAGGGGACAGGAUGAUGAUAUACGGCAAAUGGACAAGAUCCAAAUGGAAGUGGGAGGCAAAGAGACAGCUAAGAUUGUUUUGGGGUUCCAGCAGGAAGGCUGUCCCCACAGAGGUCUAACCACUCAAGUGUGCCCUAAGUCAGGAGGAUGGCUUCAACGAGCUUCAUGAUUUGGAGAGUUCAUUUGCUUCAUUUCCUAUUAAAUCAUUGCACGCACUUAAGGGAUUCUCUACAGCCAAAAAAUAAUCUGAGAGGAACGAUGGUGGCCCAUUUUUGUAUCACAACAGGACAGAUGCAAGUAACUUUCAGCAGAGGAUACAUCAGGAGCAGUGGUCCAACACAUGGGACACUUUAAAGUUACUUAAGCAGAUCUGAGGCCCAAGGUAUAUUUGCAUUAGCGGGAGUUGAUUUUGAAGUGAUCCAUCAGUGUCGUGUUGCUUCCUAAAGAAACUCAAGGUUUUGGGUUGGCUCCAUCAAGCAUGAUGCUUCAUGUGCUGCUUUGGGGCUUUAUUGAUGCAAAUGUAGGGUGUGAACACGUGCUUCCAUUGUAAACCGCUACUUAGUGCUUGGUAAUCUCAAUGUAGAGAAAAUAUCUGCUGUCCUUUGAGUGUGGUCUUCAAAAGAGAUUGCCAGUCACCUUUGAUACG